rnacentral:rRNA from 1 species
GACGAACGCUGGCGGCGUGCUUAACACAUGCAAGUCGAGCGGUAAGGCUCCUUCGGGAGUACACGAGCGGCGAACGGGUGAGUAACACGUGAGCAAUCUGCCCUUCACUUUGGGAUAACUUCCGGAAACGGAAGCUAAUACCGAAUACGACCACUUCAGGCAUCUGAUGGUGGUGGAAAGUUCCGGCGGUGAAGGAUGAGCUCGCGGCCUAUCAGCUUGUUGGUGAGGUAACGGCUCACCAAGGCUUCGACGGGUAGCCGGCCUGAGAGGGUGACCGGCCACACUGAGACUGAGGCACGGCCCAGACUCCUACGGGAGGCAGCAGUGGGGAAUAUUGGACAAUGGGCGAAAGCCUGAUCCAGCAACGCCGCGUGAGGGAUGACUGCCUUCGGGUUGUAAACCUCUUUCAGCGGGGACGAAGCGAAAGUGACGGUACCCGCAGAAGAAGCACCGGCCAACUACGUGCCAGCAGCCGCCGUAA